rnacentral:tRNA from 1 species
GGGCUCGUAGCAAAGUGGUUAUUGCGCUGGCUUGUCACGCCAGAGGUCGGGGGUUCGAUUCCCCUCGGGCCCG